rnacentral:snoRNA from 1 species
GUGCAUGUGAUGAGCUACUUGGAUUCCCCUUCAAGAUUUUUUGAAUGAUGUAGACCCGAGAUUCUGAUGCA